rnacentral:rRNA from 1 species
GACGAACGCUGGCGGCGUGCUUAACACAUGCAAGUCGAACGGAAAGGCCCUGCUUUUGUGGGGAGCUCGAGUGGCGAACGGGUGAGUAACACGUGAGUAACCUGCCCUUGACUUUGGGAUAACUUCAGGAAACUGGGGCUAAUACCGGAUAGGAGCUCCUGCUGCAUGGUGGGGGUUGGAAAGUUUCGGCGGUUGGGGAUGGACUCGCGGCUUAUCAGCUUGUUGGUGGGGUAGUGGCUUACCAAGGCUUUGACGGGUAGCCGGCCUGAGAGGGUGACCGGCCACAUUGGGACUGAGAUACGGCCCAGACUCCUACGGGAGGCAGCAGUGGGGAAUAUUGCACAAUGGGCGGAAGCCUGAUGCAGCAACGCCGCGUGCGGGAUGACGGCCUUCGGGUUGUAAACCGCUUUCGCCUGCGACGAAGCGUGAGUGACGGUAAUGGGUAAAGAAGCACCGGCUAACUACGUG